rnacentral:lncRNA from 1 species
UGUGUUUCGAGUAGUGGUACGUGUGUUUGGUUCUUGUGUUUUUGGAUUGCACCCUGUUGUGGUUUCUUGGGUGUAUAUUCUUUUGACGGUGCAUUUCAUUAUAGCCCGAUAGCAAACACUCCUGUUUCCUGCGCCUGACUCCACACCCACUACAGUAAGCGAUACACCAACACGUUUCUGGUUUACUUCAGAGAGCUUUCAUUUCAUGUCCUUUUUAAGUCUUUAUUUUAAAUCACUCUUGAUCAAUAAUAAUUCACUGUCUCACACAGAUCAAAGUCAUAUAUAAGAGAAACAUGAAAGGCUUCAUAUCAGCAAAGUUAAAUAGCUUAAAGUAAGUUUUGCCCCGGUACUUUUACCUCUAUUCAAAAUCUUUUACAUGUGAUGUUAUUUCAAGCCUUCAUUUCAUGUGCUAGUAAUUUGAAUAUGCAAAUAGUAAAUGUCUCCUUUUAAUUUAGCCGUUUUCUCAACUUUCAGUAUAAUGUACAAUGUAAUGAAUUGAAGGCUGCUAAGCAAUGCUGAAAUACUAACCAUUUAAAUUGUGGCCCACAAUGUCCAAUAUAAUAAAUACAUUUUCAGUAUACGCCCCAGAGACAAGUGUAUCCCUUCGAAAUGAAAAGGACUUGGGGUUGAUGUUAUACAAUGUAUGUAUGGGCUAUUUUUGCUAAUGUACACAUGCAUGGAAUUCAUUUGUGGAUAUGUUUGCUAAUAUUUUUUUCUCAAAUUAAUAGGAGUGGAAGUGUUAUUGCAGAUUUUGCUGUUAUGACAACAAUUGUCGAUAAUGGGGAAAUUGCCAAAGCAAAAGAGGAUAUUGUCUCAACACUUGGAGAAAAAUAUAAAAUAAGGGUUUACCUGCUUGAAUAAUACGAUCUUUGGCAAUGGACAAGUUGAUGAGAAAGUUGUAGUUUACUGCAAACCGGAUGAAGUGGGUGAAAAGACUGCCAUUUGUAAAGAAAAUAGCUUUUUUCAGAUCGGGUGGACAACUGUGUCCUAAAAGAAAUUGGUACCCUGUUUUCUUUAUCUCAGGUAAUAUGUUAACAUAUUAACAAUUUUCACUGGAUAUAA